UGUAGCCCCUAGCAUCUAUGAAAAUGAAGAUAUUAAAAAAGGAAUCCUCUGUCAACUGUUUGGAGGAGCAAACAAGGAUUUUGCUGACACUGGAAGAGGAAAGUUUAGAUCAGAGGUGAAUAUUCUUCUUUGUGGUGAUCCUGGAACAAGCAAGUCACAGUUGUUACAGUAUGUUCAUAACCUUGUGCCUCGUGGUCAGUACACAUCUGGCAAGGGUUCAUCUGCAGUUGGUUUGACUGCUUAUGUCACAAGAGACCCAGAGACAAGGCAGCUGGUGCUACA